ACCCUUCACAGGGCCUGGUUCACGGCAGUCAAUAGUCACUCCAUACAUUUUUGGCGACAGACUGAGUAUCUGGCUGUCUAACUAAGAUCAUCAAGGGCCUGGCGUAGGAGAGGCAAAUGAAUCGAAUGAAGAAAUAGCCCUGUAUCCAGCUACAGUGUUCCUUAGUGAUUGAUGGAGAGCGAAGUCUUUCUAAUGAGGUAGUCUUGGAUCCUGGAUUCACCAUUUGCAUCUUCAUAACCUGGGCGGAAGUGAUUCAACUUCUCUAAGGCGACUCCAUGUCGUCCACAGCAACUGCUAAGCCCAAAUCCAUACGACACCCCAGUGGUCAGCCAGAACCAGGACGACCGCCUGCAGGACCUUGUCACCGACCUCAGUUCUCUGGUCUCUUUAAACGAGAAAUCCCCAUUUAGGACCCUCAGAGCCGCAUCGAUGCUAAAAGCAUGUUUCCAGGACAUCUCCACGCUGUGUCAGUAGGAAAAUUCUCCAGAUUCACAACAUGUAACCAUACUCGCAACUUACUCUUAAACAUGAUUCUCAUCUAUAAAUGCUAAGCUGAAACUUA